rnacentral:rRNA from 1 species
UGGGUAACCUGCCUCAUAGAGGGGAAUAGCCUUCCGAAAGGAAGAUUAAUACCGCAUAAUAUGUUUUGAUCGCAUGAUUGAAACAUCAAAGGAGUAAUCCGCUUUGAGAUGGACCCGCGGCGCAUUAGCUAGUUGGUGAGGUAACGGCUCACCAAGGCGACGAUGCGUAGCCGACCUGAGAGGGUNAUCGGCCACAUUGGAACUGAGACACGGUCCAGACCUCUACGGGA